AUGAUAGCCACUCCAGAACAACAAGCUCGGUGCAAGGAGGCUUUUCAUGCCGCAAAGAAGAAGAAGGUGGAAAAGGAAAAGCAAGCACAAGAAUUAAGGGCCUCAGUGAACAUAGAAGUUGAGGAUGAUGAAGAGCUUAGUGCAGUUGGUAAAGGUGAUCCCAAAAAUAGAAGCUACAAAGUGGGGCAAUAUUUGGCUAGAUGGAUCUACAAGAAAAACAUACCCUUCAAUGCUAUCAAUCAUGAUGACUUCAAACAAUUUUGUGAAGCCCUUGGUCGUUAUGGUCCUGAUUGGAGGCAACCUUCACAACAUCAUAUCCGAGAAAAGAUGUUGUUGCAGGAGGUGGAAAGGACUAGGGAUUUGUUGAAGCCACAUGAGGCUGAGAGGGAGAUCACCGGGUGCUCUGUCAUGACUGAUGCUUGGACAGACAAGAAAAGAAGGAGCAUCAUGAACUUGUGUGUGCAUUGUAAGUUGGGGACAGUUUAUCUUGAAUCAAAGGAGGCAUCGGCUGAUGCACACACAAGUCUCUACAUCUUCAAUUAUGUGGAUGAAUGCAUUGAGAAAAUUGGUGCUGAUAAUGUUGUACAAGUAGUCACGGAUAAUGCUUCAAACAAUAUGGGAGCAAAAGGGGUGUUGAAAGAAAAAAGGACAAAGAUAUUUUGGACCUCAUGUGCAACGCACACCCUCAACUUGAUGGUAGAAGCGGUUGGUAAAUUAAAGCAAUUUGGUUCUACAAUUACCAAAGCAAAGGAGAUGACUAUUUUUCUUUAUGCACAUCAUGCAACAUUGGCGUUGAUGAGGUCUCAUACAAAAAAGAGAGACAUUGUUAGGCCGGGAGUGACAAGAUUUGCUUCGGCAUUUCUUACCUUGCAAAGUCUUGCUGCAAAGAAGAAACAACUAAAGGAGAUGUGUUGUAGUGAUGCUUGGGAACAAUGCAAGCAUACACGUACAAGGAAAGGAAAGUCGGCUCAUGCCACGAUAAUUAGUAGGACAUUUUGGAAGAAUGUGUCUCUUUGCAUCAAGGUAAGAAAAUUAAUAAUGUUCUUUAAUUGUGUCUUGUCAUCUUGUGUUAUAUGUAAUAUGUUAAAUACUAAUGUUGUGCUUAUCGUAUGUUGUAAUGCAAGGUUUUUGAGCCAUUGGUGA
rnacentral:rRNA from 1 species